rnacentral:rRNA from 1 species
UGCCGUGGGCGCUGGAGAACUGAGGGGGCUGCUCCUAGUACGAGAGGACCGGAGUGGACGCAUCACUGGUGUUCGGGUUGUCAUGCCAAUGGCACUGCCCGGUAGCUAAAUGCGGAAGAGAUAAGUGCUGAAAGCAUCUAAGCACGAAACUUGCCCCGAGAUGAGUUCUCCCUGACCCUUUAAGGGUCCUGAAGGAACGUUGAAGACGACGACGUUGAUAGGCCGGGUGUGUAAGCGCAGCGAUGCGUUGAGCUAACCGGUACUAAUGAACCGUGAGGCUUAACCUUAC